UACGUGGGGUGCGAGCGUUGUUCGGAAUUACUGGGCGUAAAGCGUGUGCAGGCGGCUUGUUAAGUCCGAUGUGAAAUCCCUGGGCUCAACCCAGGAAUUGCAUUGGAAACUAGCGAGCUGGAGUUCGGGAGAGGGUAGUGGAAUUCCUGGUGUAGAGGUGAAAUUCGUAGAUAUCAGGAGGAACACCGGUGGCGAAGGCGGCUACCUGGACCGAUACUGACGCUGAUACACGAAAGCGUGGGGAGCAAACAGG
rnacentral:rRNA from 1 species